CUAAGUUUGAUGGCGACCGGCGCACGGGUGAGUAACACGUAUCCAACCUGCCGAUGACUCGGGGAUAGCCUUUCGAAAGAAAGAUUAAUACCCGAUGGCAUAGUUCUUCCGCAUGGUAGAACUAUUAAAGAAUUUCGGUCAUCGAUGGGGAUGCGUUCCAUUAGGUUGUUGGCGGGGUAACGGCCCACCAAGCCUUCGAUGGAUAGGGGUUCUGAGAGGAAGGUCCCCCACAUUGGAACUGAGACACGGUCCAAACUCUACGGGAGGCAGCAUG
rnacentral:rRNA from 1 species